GAUGAAGAACGUAGCGAAAUGCGAUAAGUAAUGUGAAUUGCAGAAUUCAGUGAAUCAUCGAAUCUUUGAACGCACCUUGCGCCCUUUGGCUAUUCUGAAGGGCAUGCCUGUUUGAGUAUCAUGAACACCUCAACUCUCAUGGUUUGCCAUGAUGAGCUUGGACUUUGGGGGUCUUGCUGGCCUACGGUCGGCUCCUCUCAAAUGAAUCAGCUUGCCAGUGUUUGGUGGCAUCACGGGUGUGAUAACUAUCUACGCUUGUGGUUUCCCACCAGGUAACCUUCAGUGAUGGAGGUUCGCUGGGGCUCAUAAAUGUCCCUCCACAGUGAGGACAGCUUUUGAACGUUUGAUCUCAAAUCAGGUAGGACUACCCGCUGAACUUAAGCAUAUCAAUAAGCGGAGGA
rnacentral:misc_RNA from 1 species